rnacentral:rRNA from 1 species
UACGUAGGGUGCGAGCGUUAAUCAGAAUUACUGGGCGUAAAGCGUGCGCAGGCGGUUCGUUAAGUCAGCUGUGAAAGCCCCGGGCUCAACCUGGGAACUGCAAUGGAAACUGGCGGGCUUGAGUAUGGCAGAGGGGGGUGGAAUUCCGCGUGUAGCAGUGAAAUGCGUAGAGAUGCGGAGGAACACCGAUGGCGAAGGCAGCCCCCUGGGCCAAUACUGACGCUCAGGCACGAAGGCGUGGGGAGCAAACAGG